rnacentral:lncRNA from 1 species
AAUACUUUUUGAUAUCUGAAAAUUCCAAAAAUAUUUUCUUAACACAUAUGGAUCAUGAUAAAUCAAUGAAAAAUAGUCUCAUCAAUUUCUUAAUUGAUUUGAGAUUUAUUUGAGAUUUUAAUUCAUAAUGUGUUAUUUUUAUUGUUUUUAAUUGAUUUAAAAUAGUUUCUGUUUUCAAAAAAUAUUGAGAAAAUUUGUCAAAUCUUGUUUGACCAUGUUAGACCUAGGAUGAUUCAAUUGGACUUGUUCAAGUUGAU